GUGAAGAUUGCAGAUAAGCUUUAUCCAAGGAAAUCUGGCUCUCGAAGUUCGGAGAGCGGUGCCUCUUCAGUUUUCGAACAAGCAAUCCUGUCGGGGAUCUGGCUCUCGAGAUUCAGAGAACUGUGCCUUUUCGAUAUUUGAGAAAGUAAUCUUGUUGGGAGUCUGGCUCUCGAGAUUCGGAGAGUAGUGUCUCUUCAAUUUUUGAGAAAGUAAUCCUGUUGGGAGUCUGGCUCUCGAGAUUCGGAGGGCGGUGCUUUUUCGAUUUUAGAGCACGUAAUCCUGUUAGGAGUCUGGCUCUCAAGAUUCGGAGAGCGGUGCCUCUUCGAUUUUUGAGAAAGCAAUCAUGUUGGGAG
rnacentral:lncRNA from 1 species